rnacentral:tRNA from 1 species
GCCCCCAUAGCCCAAAUGGCAGAGGCAGCGAACUUAAAAUUCGCAAAGUGUCGGUUCGAAUCCGACUGGGGGCA